GGUGAUAGUUAGCAUGGGAGAGGCCUGGCAUUAGAACAUGACAGUGUGAUGGUUAGCAUGGGAGAGGCCUGGCAUUGGAACAUGAGAAGUCCCUGAGCUGGGCAUCAGAGGGCUUUACAGGCUGUGAUCACCAGGUCUAUCUAAGCACAUGCACAGAAGCCGGGAAGCUGGUCGUCUUCUAUUUGCGACCAGAUUAGAUAAAUCCUCCAAGGAACGUGUGCUUUCAUUUCAAUGUUGGACCACAAAAGAACCCAAGAAACAGAGUGAAAAUGAAAACUGAAGCUCCGACUUAAGACUUUGCUGCCGAGGGGAGCUCCCUCUUCAACAGAAGGGGGUCACUGCUCAGUCUGGGGAAAUGAGGCACUUGUGGAUACAGAGAAUGCUCGCUCACUAACACGCCCUAGAGAGUCCAGUGGAGGGGGACAGGCUGCCACAGUUCCUGCAACCAGGAGUAAGAAAUCUUACAGAAAAAUGCAAGGGGACAAAGAAUUCACUAGUGCACUACAGACAUGUCAACUGAGCAUCAGCCCCAGAAGAAGACAAGCCAAACACAUGUCCAUGCCUUGUCUUUCUCUCGAGCCCCACAACUCCUCCCCCAG